rnacentral:rRNA from 1 species
GAUGAACGCUGGCGGCGUGCCUAAUACAUGCAAGUCGAGCGAACGGACGAGAAGCUUGCUUCUCUGAUGUUAGCGGCGGACGGGUGAGUAACACGUGGAUAACCUACCUAUAAGACUGGGAUAACUUCGGGAAACCGUAGCUAAUACCGGAUAAUAUUUUGAACCGCAUGGUUCAAAAGUGAAAGACGGUCUUGCUGUCACUUAUAGAUGGAUCCGCGCUGCAUUAGCUAGUUGGUAAGGUAACGGCUUACCAAGGCAACGAUGCAUAGCCGACCUGAGAGGGUGAUCGGCCACACGGGAACUGAGACACGGCCCAGACCCCUACGGGGGGCAGCAGUAGGGAAUCUUCCGCAAUGGGCGAAAGCCUGACGGAGCAACGCCGGGGGAGGGAUGAAGGUCUUGGGAUCGUAAAACUCUUUUAUUAGGGAAAAAAAUAUGUGUAAGUAACUGUGCACAUCUUGACGGUACCUAAUCAGAAAGCCGCGGCUAACUACGU